AGGAAGCAGUAAAGAAGAGGUGGCAAGAGAUGCCUGGAUGGGAAAACGAGGGGUCUGGAAAAUCCCCAACUAACAACGAGGACUCCCACAGCCAGUCUAGUGGGUUUGCAGACUGUAGUUUGUGGGAAUUCUGGAACCAGAUCUGCUGGAAUAAGGCUGCAGCUACAAAACACUUCCGCAGUCAGGCAACUUUGCCUGGUGCGAUUCGGGGGUGCUGCCUCCCCUCUCUUCUCCUCCUGGACGUGCUGCAUGCCCACACCACGAAAGUAAAAUUAAAGUUGGCUGUACCCAUGUUCACAGCAGCAUUAGACACAAUAGCCAAAAGGUGGAAACAAUGCAAGUGUCCAUAAGUGGAAGAGUGGAUAAACAAAAUGUGGUCUAUCCAUACAACGGCUUAUUAUUCAGCCUUAAAAAGGAAGGAAAUUCUGAUACAGGCUACAGCAUGGAUGAACAUUGAGGACAUCACGCUACGUGAAAUAAGCCAGUCACAAAAGGACAAAUACCAUGUGAGUCCACAUGUAGCCAAAUUCAGAGAGACAGAAAGCAGAAUAGGGAUUUCUAGGGAAAGAGGGAAUGGGGAAUUAGUGUUUAAAGGGUACAGAGUUUCAGUUUGGAGAGAGGAAAAGUUCUAGAGAUGGAUGAUGAUAAUGGUGCACAACACUAUGAAUGCACUUAACGCCACCGAACUGUACACUUAACGGUGGUUACGACGGCAACUGUUUUGUUCUGUAUAUUUUACCACAACAAAAAAACUAAAAGAAAAUUAAAGUUAGCACCUAACAUGGCAAAUAGUAGCCCUAAAAAUGGUUUGUUGAACAAGCUAUCUUUGUUUCAGAAUUUGGGACAACCCUACAGAUGCUUGGAGAGAGCCAGCCACCUUGCUCCCUGCUGCAUCCCCUGGGCCUUAAGCAGUGCCUGGACGUGGCAGGCACUCAGUGACUAUCUAGGGAAUGAAUGAAUCGACAAGGCCAUUGUGGAAAUGCUGCUUGUCCUCAAUCCUACCUCCACCCACCAUCUUCCCUUCCCCAUCCUCGUGAGAGAGCAGUGGUCAACCAACUCAGUUGUGAUGCCCCAUGUGGAAGGGACCUUCAAGAGUUAUUUUGUUUAUGCUCCUUCCCUAGGAAUAAAUGUUCCAGGAAAUCAAUGUCUAUAUUCUUA
rnacentral:lncRNA from 1 species